rnacentral:rRNA from 1 species
UACAGAGGGUGCAAGCGUUAAUCGGAAUUACUGGGCGUAAAGCGAGCGUAGUCGGCGCCGUAAGUCUGGUGUGAAAUCUCGGGGCUUAACCCCGAAACUGCACUGGAUACUGCGGUGCUCGAGGACUGGAGAGGAGAUUGGAAUUCACGGUGUAGCAGUGAAAUGCGUAGAUAUCGUGAGGAAGACCAGUGGCGAAGGCGGAUCUCUGGACAGUUCCUGACGCUGAGGCACGAAGGCCAGGGGAGCAAACGGG